GCCAGUGUAGUGUAGUGGUUUGAACAUUGGACUAUGACUCUGAAGACCAGGGUUUGAUUCCUACUCAGCCA